GUAUAGGGUAAAGCCAGAGGAAACUCUGGUGGAGGCUCGCAGCGGUUCUGACGUGCAAAUCGAUCGUCAAAUAUGGGCAUGGGGGCGAAAGACUAAUCGAACCUUCUAGUAGCUGGUUUCCGCCGAAGUUUCCCUCAGGAUAGCAGUGUUGAAUUCUCAGUUUUAUGAGGUAGAGCGAAUGAUUAGGGACUCGGGGGCGCUAUUAAGCCUUCAUCCAUUCUCAAACUUUAAAUAUGUAAGAAGCCCUUGUUACUUAAUUGAACGUGGGCAUUCGAAUGUAUCAACACUAGUGGGCCAUUUUUGGUAAGCAGAACUGGCGAUGCGGGAUGAACCGAUCGCGGGGAUAAGGUGCCGGAGUGGACGCUCAUCAGAC
rnacentral:rRNA from 1 species